CGUGUCCUAUAGGGAGAAAUCCUAUAUAAAUGAUGAAUCACGUUAGCCAUGAUUCAUUUUGGCAAAAUGCAUUUCUAAUUGAAAAAAAAAAAAAAGGAAAGAGGAGUUAUUUCCAUGGCUGCUCACGGCCAGCCAUGGAUGGAGGAAAAAAAAUAUAUUGUUGCCAUUUUGAUUAAAUUCAAGUGGUUUGCAAGUUCAAGGAGGUGAUAGCAACAUUGGAUAUUGAAUCGAGGAAGAAGAAAUUGUAAAAUUGGAGCAAUUAAGCGUAGAAAUUCCUCCGAGAAAAAUUAGGCUAAAGGGGCGACGAAGCGAACGAGAUUACGAUUAAUCGUUAACAGGUACAGAUAGUCGAUUUGGUGACCCUUCAGCAUAGGACUUCUAUUCAGCUGUCUUGGAGAGCUCCGUUGUUCCGGAGUCUAGACUUUUGGUUCGGAUCUUAUAAUGUAUAUGUAUAUGUUUAUCCAGGGGUACGGCGGGGCCCUGUCCCGCCAUAUUUCGCUAUCGAUACUCUUAGAGGUCUGUAGACAUAUGUGUGGGUUGUGUAUAAGUUCUGUUCAACUGUGUCUAUCCGAUGUGCUGUGAUAUGAUGUCCGUCUGCAGUGGCAGCCUUGUCGGCUUGCAUAUGACAUGAUGUUGAUGUGUAGUGGCAGCCUUGUCGGCUUGCGUAUCAUUUUAUGAUUUGAUCAGUUGUGACUCCUCGAGAGACAGUUUAUCUGAAUAUACAUAUAUGAUGAC